UGGGGAAUCUUGCGCAAUGGGCGAAAGCCUGACGCAGCGACGCCGCGUGGGGGAUGAAGGCCUUCGGGUUGUAAACCUCUUUCAGCAGGGAAGAAGCGAAAGUGACGGUACCUGCAGAAGAAGCACCGGCUAACUACGUGCCAGCAGCCGCGGUAAUACGUAGGGUGCAAGCGUUGUCCGGAAUUAUUGGGCGUAAAGAGCUCGUAGGUGGCUUGUCACGUCGGGUGUGAAAUCCCAGGGCUUAACCCUGGGUCUGCAUUCGAUACGGGCUGGCUAGGGUCCUUCAGGGGAGACUGGAAUUCCUGGUGUAGCGGUGAAAUGCGCAGAUAUCAGGAGGAACACCGGUGGCGAAGGCGGGUCUCUGGGAAGGUACCGACGCUGAGGAGCGAAAGCAUGGGGAGCAAACAG
rnacentral:rRNA from 1 species